CCUACUUUUUUCCUCCUUUUUUCCUUUUUCUCCCUUUUCCCCCUCCUUCCUCCUCCCCUCCUCUUUCUUUCUUCCUUCUUUCUUUUCUUCCCUCUCUUUCCCUUUUCCCUCCUUGUAUUUUGGCUAAUCUCCACGAUACUUUCCUUUCCCCCUAACUUCCUCACCGGCUCCCUCCUUGCCAGCCUCCUCUGUACUACUUUUUGUGCAAGCGUUGUUCGGAAUUAUUGGGCGUACAGCGCGUGUAGGCGGGUUGUUAAGUCUGAUGUGAAAGCCCUGGGCUCAACCCAGGAAGUGCAUUGGAUACUGGCAGACUUGAAUACGUGAGAGGGUAGUGGAAUUCCUGGUGUAGGAGUGAAAUCCGUAGAUAUCAGGAGGAACACCGGUGGCGAAGGUGGCUGCCUGGACCGAUAUUGACGCUGAGACGCGAAAGCGUGGGGAGCGAACG
rnacentral:rRNA from 1 species